rnacentral:rRNA from 1 species
GUGCCAGCAGCCGCGGUAAUACGUAGGUGGCAAGCGUUGUCCGGAAUUAUUGGGCGUAAAGCGCGCGCAGGCGGUCCUUUAAGUCUGAUGUGAAAGCCCACGGCUCAACCGUGGAGGGUCAUUGGAAACUGGAGGACUUGAGUACAGAAGAGGAAAGCGGAAUUCCACGUGUAGCGGUGAAAUGCGUAGAGAUGUGGAGGAACACCAGUGGCGAAGGCGACUUUCUGGUCUGUAACUGACGCUGAGGCGCGAAAGCGUGGGGAGCAAACAGGAUUAGAUACCCUGGUAGUCC